GACGAACGCUGGCGGCGUGCUUAACACAUGCAAGUCGAACGGUGAAGCGCCUUCCUUUUUGGUGGGUGUGGAUGAGUGGCGAACGGGUGAGUAACACGUGAGUAACCUGCCCCCUUCUUCUGGAUAACCGCAUGAAAGUGUGGCUAAUACGGGAUAUUCUGGGUCUGUCGCAUGAUGGGUCUGGGAAAGAUAUUGUUUCGGUGGGGGAUGGGCUCGCGGCCUAUCAGCUUGUUGGUGGGGUGAUGGCCUACCAAGGCGGUGACGGGUAGCCGGCCUGGGAGGGUGGACGGUCACACUGGGACUGAGACACGGCCCAGACUCGUACGGGAGGCAGCAGUGGGGAAUAUUGCACAAUGGGCGCAAGCCUGAUGCAGCGACGCCGCGUGAGGGAUGGAGGCCUUCGGGUUGUGAACCUCUUUCGCCAGUGAAGCAGGCCUGCCUCGUUUGUGGGUGGGUUGACGGUAGCUGGAUAAGAAGCGCCGGCUAACUACGU
rnacentral:rRNA from 1 species